AAUGGCUCAUUAAAUCAGUUAUCGUUUAUUUGAUAGUACCUUUACUUGAAUAACUGUGGUAAUUCUAGAGCUAAUACAUGCUAAAAACCUCGACUUCGGAAGGGGUGUAUUUAUUAGAUAAAAAACCAAUGCCCUUCGGGGCUCCUUGGUGAUUCAUAAUAACUUAACGAAUCGCAUGGCCUUGCGCCGGCGAUGGUUCAUUCAAAUUUCUGCCCUAUCAACUUUCGAUGGUAGGAUAGUGGCCUACCAUGGUUUUAACGGGUAACGGGGAAUUAGGGUUCUAUUCCGGAGAGGGAGCCUGAGAAACGGCUACCACAUCCAAGGAAGGCAGCAGGCGCGCAAAUUACCCAAUCCCAACACGGGGAGGUAGUGACAAUAAAUACUGAUACAGGGCUCUUUUGGGUCUUGUAAUUGGAAUGAGUACAAUUUAAAUCCCUUAACG
rnacentral:rRNA from 2 species